AGCUUUGCGCAGUGGCAGUAUCGUAGCCAAUGAGGUUUAUCCAAGGCGAGAUUAUUGCUAAUUGAAAAAUUAUUAUUAGCCUGAGACUACUUAAGACAAACGCCUGUGCUUAAGAAGUUUCAUUCUGCUUAGAAUUCUAA
rnacentral:snRNA from 1 species